GUCCACACUGUAAACGAUGAUUACUAGGUGUUGGAGGAUUGACCCCUUCAGUGCCGCAGUUAACACAAUAAGUAAUCCACCUGGGGAGUACGACCGCAAGGUUGAAACUCAAAGGAAUUGACGGGGGCCCGCACAAGCAGUGGAGUAUGUGGUUUAAUUCGAAGCAACGCGAAGAACCUUACCAGGUCUUGACAUCCCGAUGCUCGGUAUAGAGAUAUACUUUUUCUUCGGAAACAUCGGUGACAGGUGGUGCAUGGUUGUCGU
rnacentral:rRNA from 1 species